rnacentral:tRNA from 1 species
UCCAGUUAGAUGAGGUUGCUUCAUUGUUAUAUAUAAGAUGUAUUUUGGAUUAUUUGCUGGUGCAAUUCCGGCAACUGAAU